rnacentral:sRNA from 17 species
CUUGGUUGACAAGUUGAGUUCUUUCCCACUCCCUUCGACGCUAGGGAGGUCUUCAUUUAAUUGAAACGCAGGAGCGGACCUUGAAUAGUUGUGUGAACCUUCUAUUCUCAUCGGAAACGAUGCCCUUGCCCACCUUUAUGGUGGGCUUUU